AUGUGGAGGCUGAAGGUGUCCGAGGGUGGCGGCCCGUGGUUGCGGUCGGUGAACAACUUCCUCGGCAGGGCGGUGUGGGAAUUCGACCCCGACUACGGCACGCCGGAGGAGCGCGCCGAGGUGGAAAGGGUGCGCCGGGAGUUCACGGACCGCCGUUUCGAGAAGAAGGAGUCGCAGGAUCUUCUGAUGCGCAUGCAGUAUGCAAAACAAAAGCAUCUUCAGGUGGAUCUUCCGGCCAUCAAGCUUGCAGACAGUGCACAAGUCACAGAAGAGGCUUUACUAACAUCAUUGAGGCGAUGCCUUAGCCAGCAUUCUGCUCUACAAGCACACGAUGGGCACUGGGCCGGGGACUUCAGUGGAAUUUUGUUCAUUAUGCCUAUCUUGAUAUUUGCUCUACAUGUUACUGGAUCACUCAAUACUGUCCUAUCAACAGAACAUCGGCGUGAGAUUUGUCGCUAUAUUUACAACCAUCAGAAUGAAGAUGGUGGUUGGGGCACGCAAGUGUUGGGCCCGAGCACCAUGUUUGGAUCAUGCUUAAACUAUGUUACCUUAAGGCUUCUUGGCGAGGUGGAAAAUGAUGCCUUAACCAAUGGGCGUGCUUGGAUUCUAUUGCGUGGAAGUGCAACUGCAAUACCACAAUGGGGGAAAAUAUGGCUCUCGGUGGUUGGUUUGUAUGAAUGGUCUGGAAAUAAUUCGAUCGUUCCUGAGUUAUGGCUUGUCCCACAUUUUCUUCCGAUUCAUCCAGGACGAUUCUGGUGCUUUUGCCGGUUGGUUUAUAUGCCAAUGUCUUAUCUUUACGGUAAGAAGUUUGUUGGCCCAAUUACACCAACAAUAAUGGCAAUAAGAGAGGAGCUCUAUAGUGUAUCAUACAAUGAGAUUGAUUGGAACAAAGCGCGUGAUACUUGUGCUAAGGAAGACCUUCGGUAUCCACGGUCGUUGCUGCAAAAUGUUAUUUGGACUUGUCUUAAUAAAUUUGUAGAACCAGUGUUGAAUUGUUGGCCAAUUAAUAAGUUAAGAGAUACGGCGCUGAAGAACCUCAUGAAACAUAUACAUUAUGAAGACGAAAGCACUAAAUACAUUGGCGUAUGUCCGAUUAACAAGGCACUAGACAUGAUUUGUUGUUGGAUCGAGGAUCCAAAUUCAGAUGCACUGAAGUUGCAUCUUCCAAGGAUCUAUGAUUAUUUAUGGCUUGCGGAAGAUGGCAUGAAAGCACAGGUUUAUGAUGGUUGUCAAAGCUGGGAGCUUGCUUUUAUUGUUCAAGCAUAUUGCUCGACAGACCUCGUCAAUGAGCUCGGCCCAACACUUCGGAAAGCCCAUGAAUUCAUUAAAAGUUCACAGGUUCUUGAGAACCAUCCUAACAGCGAAACUUAUUACCGUCAUAGAUCAAAAGGUUCAUGGACACUUUCAACAGCGGAUAAUGGGUGGUCUGUAUCCGAUUGUACUGCAGAAGCACUUAAGGCAUUGUUGUUGCUGUCGAAGAUCUCUCCUAAUCUUGUGGGGGAUCCCAUAAAAGGAGAAAGGUUGCAUGAUGCAGUGGAUUGCUUACUUUCUUUUAUGAAUAAAGAUGGCACAUUUUCUACAUAUGAGUGUAAGAGAACUACAUCUCUAUUAGAGGUUCUCAACCCUUCUGAAAGUUUUCUGAACAUUAUUGUCGAUUAUCCAUCUGUCGAAUGUACAUCAUCCGUGCUUCAGGCCCUAAUUAUGUUCAAAGAGCUUUACCCAGGGUACCGCAAAGAAGAGAUAGGAAAAUGUGUCAAAAAUGCUUCCAAGUUUAUUGAGGAUAAACAACGAAAGGAUGGCUCAUGGUUUGGCACUUGGGGUAUAUGUUUCACUUAUGGAACGUUCUUUGGUGUAAAAGGAUUAAUUGCUUCUGGAAGAACUUACGAAAAUAGUUCUUCCAUAAGGAAAGCAUGCAUCUUUCUGUUGUCAAAGCAAUUAAGUACAGGUGGAUGGGGAGAAUCUUAUCUUUCUAGUGAAACUGAGGCUUAUGUGGAGGCCACUAGUCCUCAUGCUGUGAACACUGCUUGGGCAAUGUUGGCUUUAAUUUAUGCUGGGCAGGUUGAACGAGAUCCUACGCCACUAUAUCAUGCUGCAAAAGAGUUGAUCAAUAUGCAACUAGAGACGGGAGAGUUUCCCCAGCAAGAACACGUUGGAUGCUUCAACUGCUCCAUAUACUUUAAUUACGGCAAUUAUCGCAACUUGUACCCCAUUUGGGCUCUUGGAGAGUUUCGUCGUCGACUGCUUGCGAAGAACUGA
rnacentral:rRNA from 1 species